ACGAACGUUGGCGGCGUGGAUUAGGCAUGCAAGUCGAGGGAAUCCCAGCAAUGGGGGAACCGGCGUAAGGGGCAGUAAGGCAUGGGUACCUACCUUUGGGUUCGGGAUAGCCAUCAGAGAUGGUGGGUAAUACCGGAUGACGUGGUGACACCAAAGAUUUAUCGCCCGGAGAGGGGCCCAUGUGAUAUUAGGUAGUUGGUGAGGUAACGGCUCACCAAGCCGAAGAUGUCUAGCGGGUGUGAGAGCACGACCCGCGCCACUCGCACUGAGACACUGGCGAGACACCUACGGGUGGCUGCAGUCGAGGAUCUUCGUCAAUGGGGGCAACCCUGAACGAGCGACGCCGCGUGUGCGAUGAAGGCCUUCGGGUUGUAAAGCACUGUCGAGGGGGAGAAAAGCCGAAAGGUUUGAUCUAUCUCUGGAGGAAGCACGGGCUAAGUUCGU
rnacentral:rRNA from 1 species